rnacentral:RNase_P_RNA from 1 species
CAAGUGGGUCAGACAGUCGCCGCGUGUCUUUGGGCACGGGGAGGAAAGUCCGGGCUCCGCAGGGCGCAAUGCCGGCUAACGGCCGGGCACCGCGAGGUGACGGAAAGUGGCACAGAAAAGAUACCGCCUGCCAUGCAGGUAAGGGUGAAAUGGUGCGGUAAGAGCGCACCGCGUCUUCGGUAACGGAGGCGGCAGGCCAAACCCCAUUGGGAGCAAGACCAAACAGAACGUUAUGAUGCGGCCCGCAUCGCGUUCGGGUAGGUUGCUGGAGCGCGUCGGUAACGGCGCGUCUAGAUGAAUGACUGUCCGCGACAGAACCCGGCUUACCGACCGACUUGCGGU